UUAUGAACUUGCAAAUAAAACAGAGCUCAGAGCAAAAAGGACCAUUAUUGUGAAUCAACAGAAGACUUGGGCUGACAAGAUUUAGCCUGCAGAUGCAUUCAGAAGGUAGAGAUUUGAAGCACAGAGGCUUCAACAUGACAUUGCAAAUAUAUCCGGAAACAGAAGGAAAAAGGUGGCAGCACCUUGUUCUCGCUCACUGCCAUGAAGAUACAAAACACAGCUCAAGAGAGUG